UGGCGCUUCUUCCACUGCAGUGAGAAGCAACUCCGUUUCUCAUCAUGCACCGGGAUUCAGGAAGCAUGAGAAAAAGUGAAUGAUUGCCCUGUGCUAUUCUGCUUCUCCUCCUCAAUCCCCAUAACACCACUUUCUAGGGUUUUGAAUAAGGGACAAAGGCACAAAACUAAGCUGAUCAUUUCUGGUUAUGCACAGUCCUUUCGGCAUCCAAUCACUGACGCUCACUUCACAUCUUUCUCUUAUCGGAGAAUACGAGGGAGGGAUUGCUUACUUCCUGAGCUUUCCUCCUGAGAUGAGUGAGAAAAUGCGAUCCUAAUGUAUAAAUUGUUUGAAUGUAGCAAGAGCUUUGCACGGAGCGAUGUUGGCGAUGGAGAAGGAUUUUGAUUCCAAGUUGAGGAUUCAGAGUAAUUCGUCUAGUGAUGGGAGUGUCCCGAGAUGUCAGAGCAUUCCUUUCCGAGCUCCUCAGGAGAAUUGCACCAUCCAGGACUUUGAAUUGGGAAAGAUCUACGGCGUUGGUUCUUAUUCUAAGGUUGUGAGGGCAAAGAAGAAGGACACGGGAUCUGUAUAUGCAUUGAAGAUCAUGGACAAAAAAUUUAUCACCAAGGAGAACAAAACAACUUAUGUGAAGUUGGAACGUUUAGUGCUUGAUAAAUUGGAUCAUCCUGGAAUUGUGCGGCUGUUUUUCACAUUUCAAGACACAUUUUCUUUGUACAUGGCACUUGAAUCGUGUGAUGGUGGAGAACUUUUUGAUCAAAUAACCAGGAAAAGUCGUUUGUCAGAGGAUGAAGCACGAUUCUAUGCAGCUGAAGUUGUGGAUGCUCUUGAAUACAUACAUAAUAUGAGCUUGAUACAUCGUGAUAUUAAGCCAGAGAACUUGCUGCUUACAGCUGAAGGACAUAUAAAAUUAGCUGAUUUUGGGAGUGUCAAGCCUAUGCAGGGAAGCCAAAUCAUGGACUUCCUUCCAAAUGCAGCAUCAGAUGAUAGAGCCUGCACAUUGGUGGGGACAGCUGCUUAUGUUCCCCCAGAGGUUCUUAAUUCUUCUCCAGCAACAUUUGGAAAUGACCUUUGGGCCCUUGGAUGCACAUUAUACCAAAUGCUCUCAGGAACUUCUCCUUUUAAAGAUGCAAGUGAAUGGCUUAUUUUCCAAAGAAUCAUAGCUAGAGAUAUUCGAUUCCCGGACUAUUUUUCUGAUGAGGCAAGGGACCUUAUUGACCAGUUACUGGAUUUAGAUCCCAGCAGGAGACCAGGUGCAGGACCUAACGGUUAUACUGUUUUGAAAAGGCAUCCAUUUUUCAAGGGAGUGGACUGGAGUAACGUUAGGGAUCAAAUCCCCCCAAAACUUGCUAUGGAACCAGGGUCACCUGAAGCUGAUGAUGUUUAUGAUUCAUCAUGGAGCCUUUCUCACGCUGGGGAUGGUUCUGCUAGGCAAUCUGAUGGAAAUAUUGGUGCUACAUCAUCUUCUGAGGGGUUUGAUCACAUAACUAGGCUAGCCUCAGUAGAUUCUUUUGAUUCAAAGUGGCAACAAUUUUUGGAUCCUGGUGAAUCUGUUAUUAUGACCUCAAUGGUAAAAAAGAUGCAGAAACUAACGAGCAAGAAGGUGCAGCUCAUCCUUACUAACAAACCAAAGCUGAUCUAUGUGGAUCCUUCAAAGCUUAUUGUGAAGGGAAAUAUAAUAUGGUCUAAUAAUCCAAAUGAAUUAUGCAUUCAAGUGACAAAUCCUUCUUGUUUCAAAAUUUGCACAGGUCAUUGGCGUUACCAGUGUAGCUUUAAAAGCCUAAAAAGUUGCAAUUGUGCCCCUAAAAUGCUGAAAAGCAUAUUCUGGCAGUGCUGUAUGGACGGCACGUGAAGCUCAUGCAUAGGGAGCUCCGUUAGCAUGGAUACGUGUGCAGUGGUGGACAGUGGUGAGGCUUCUGAGUCUCUCUGGAUUCUUCUUUUCGAGCAUGAUGGUAAUGUUGGUUUCGUGGUUUGACGUUAGGAAGGGAGAGUUUUGGCUAUGGCAGCGUGAAACAUGGGGUAUAGAGACUUCCCGACGAGUUUUCUUUGUUUUUCCUGGUGAUGGAAGCUACCAAGGAAUGCUCGGGUCUAGCUCGGAUAUGAAAAUGGUGCAGCACACAUAAUCACUUAUGCAAACAGAGGGAAAAUGGGAGAAGAAAAUAGAAAUAGAGUGAGAGGAGGGGAAUUAAGAAUAGAGGAGGAGAGAGACAGAAGCAAGGGACCAGAGGGGGAGCUCCAAAAAAGGUAUUGUCAUUUGAGGAUGCCAAGCAGAGAGCUUUUCAGUGGAAGAAAUCAAUUGAAGAGCUUCAAAACCGGUGAUAUUGAUAUUCAUUUUGCAUUUAACUACAGCUCUUUUUCCUUUGGAUAUCUUGAUAUUGUUCAGGGAUGAACUGGACGGUCCUGUGAUCAGUUAGUCAUCAAUAUGAAACUCAGUUGUGGAUGUAACCUUCUUCCCAAACUGGACGGUCCUGUGAUGCCAUGUUGGAGGUUGGAAACUUGAAAUCAUUACUUUGUAUUGUAUGCAAGUUCAGUCAUUCCUGAUAAUUUAGAUUUAGAGUUGAAAUGAAACUUUUUUAGGGGUUAAUACUGCGUUAAUUUCUAGGCUUAA